CCCCAAAUUAUUUCUUGCCCUCCCAGCUUUCAGCUGCCAUAUAUCCGUAUUUGGAGGUGUGCAGCAACAUCGUCGUCUCAUGGUGGGCCAUAAACAGAAGGUGGAACUGAUUCCUAACAAAAUCCAUGUCAUGAAAACUCUCAGCUUGAAACCACUCCUUUUUGGUAAGGAAAAGAGGCUACUGGAGAUAUAUCCAGAUGACCUAUUGGUAGAAGAGGAAAUGAGAUAUACCAUAUAUUAAAGUUUGGCGGUUU